rnacentral:tRNA from 2 species
UGACCCAUGGUGUAAUGGUAACACUGCAGAUUUUGGUUCUGUCAUUCCAGGUUCGAAUCCUGGUGGGUCAACAA